AUCUGCGGCCAUACUACCCUGAACGCGCCGCAUCUUGUCUGAUCUCAGAAGCUAAGCAGGGGCGGGCCUGGUUAGUACUUGGAUGGGAGGGAAAGAAGUGGUUGAGAAAAUU
rfam:Mustela putorius furo unplaced genomic scaffold scaffold00052, whole genome shotgun sequence.